GAUCCCUUCGGGGUGAAGAUGAAAUGGAUUAGCGGCGGACGGGUGAGUAACACGUGAGUAACCUGCCUUAGACAUUGGGAUAGCCUCGGGAAACCGGGAUUAAUACCAAAUGAAAUCACAUAUGCACAUGCAUAAAUGAUCAAAGCUCCGGCGGUCUAAGAUGGACUCGCGUCCCAUUAGCUAGUUGGUGAGGUAACGGCCCACCAAGGCGACGAUGGGUAGCCGGCCUGAGAGGGUGAACGGCCACAUUGGAACUGAGAAACGGUCCAAACUCCUACGGGAGGCAGCAGUGGGGAAUAUUGCACAAUGGAGGGAACUCUGAUGCAGCGACGCCGCGUGAACGAAGAAGGCUUUCGAGUCGUAAAGUUCUUUUAUAUGGGAAGAUAAUGACGGUACCAUAAGAAAAAGCCCCGGCUAACUACGUGCCAGCAGCCGCGGUAAUACGUAGGGGGCUAGCGUUGUCCGGAAUCACUGGGCGUAAAGGGUUCGCAGGCGGAAAUGCAAGUCAGGUGUAAAAGGCAGUAGCUUAACUACUGUAAGCAUUUGAAACUGCAUAUCUUGAGAAGAGUAGAGGUAAGUGGAAUUUUUAGUGUAGCGGUGAAAUGCGUAGAUAUUAAAAAGAAUACCGGUGGCGAAGGCGACUUACUGGGCUCAUUCUGACGCUGAGGAACGAAAGCGUGGGUAGCAAACAGGAUUAGAUACCCUGGUAGUCCACGCUGUAAACGAUGAGUGCUAGGUAUCGGAAUAAUUCGGUGCCGCAGUUAACACAUUAAGCACUCCGCCUGGGGAGUACGUGCGCAAGCAUGAAACUCAAAGGAAUUGACGGGGACCCGCACAAGCAGCGGAGCAUGUGGUUUAAUUCGAAGCAACGCGAAGAACCUUACCAGGGCUUGACAUACUGAGGACCGGUAUAGAGAUAUACCCUCUUCUUCGGAAGCCUCAAUACAGGUGGUGCAUGGUUGUCGUCAGCUCGUGUCGUGAGAUGUUCAGUUAAGUCUGGCAACGAGCGCAACCCCUAUCUUUAGUUACCAGCAUUUCGGAUGGGGACUCUAAAGAGACUGCCGAUGAUAAAUCGGAGGAAGGUGGGGAUGACGUCAAAUCAUCAUGCCCUAUAUGCCCUGGGCUACACACGUGCUACAAUGGAAGAUACAAAGGGAAGCGAAAUAGUGAU
rnacentral:rRNA from 1 species